rnacentral:rRNA from 1 species
CCUACGGGAGGCAGCAGUGGGGAAUAUUGGACAAUGGGGGCAACCCUGAUCCAGCAACGCCGCGUGGAUGAAGAAGGCCUUCGGGUUGUAAAGUCCUUUCGGCAGGGACGAUGAUGACGGUACCUGCAGAAGAAGCCCCGGCUAACUUCGUGCCAGCAGCCGCGGUAAUACGAAGGGGGCUAGCGUUGUUCGGAAUUACUGGGCGUAAAGGGCGUGUAGGCGGACGCGCAAGUCAGGGGUGAAAUCCCGGGGCUCAACCUCGGAAUGGCCUUUGAGACUGCGUGUCUUGAGGACGGGAGAGGGUCGUGGAAUUCCCAGUGUAGAGGUGAAAUUCGUAGAUAUUGGGAAGAACACCGGUGGCGAAGGCGGCGACCUGGACCGUAUCUGACGCUGAGGCGCGAAAGCGUGGGGAGCAAACAGGAUUAGAUACCCUGGUAGUC